UAAGUAAGUCAGACAGUCGCACGUACCAACUCGAAAGAGGGUGCUUGAGGAACGUCCGGGCUCCAUAGAGCAAGGUGCUGGAUAACACCCAGUGGAGGCAACUUUAAGGAUAGUGCAACAGAAAUAAACCGCCUACUUUGAUAGGUAAGGAUGGAAAGGCGAGGUAAGAGCUCACCGUCCCUUAGGUGACUAAGGGAGCCCUGUAAACCCCACCUGGAGCAAGACCGUACAAAAGACAUAUAGUUGCUCGCUAGUCUUUGGGUAGGUCGCUAGAGCCAUUUGAGGUAACUCUUGGCGUAGAUAGAUGACUGUUUGAUACAGAACCCGGCGUAUAGACUUGGUUAACAA
rnacentral:RNase_P_RNA from 1 species